rnacentral:rRNA from 1 species
UACCUUGUUACGACUUCACCCCAAUCAUCGGCCCCACCUUCGACGACUUGCUCCUCUUUCAAGGUUGCUCCAUCGGCUUCGGGUGUUGCAGACUUUCGUGGUGUGACGGGCGGUGUGUACAAGGCCCGGGAACGUAUUCACCGCGGCGUGCUGAUCCGCGAUUACUAGCGAUUCCGACUUCAUGCAGGCGAGUUGCAGCCUGCAAUCCGAACUGAGACCUGCUUUUUGGGAUUGGCUCCACCUCACGGCUUCGCUACCCUUUGUACAGGCCAUUGUAGCACGUGUGUAGCCCAGGUCAUAAAGGGCAUGAUGAUUUGACGUCAUCCCCACCUUCCUCCGGUUUGUCACCGGCAGUCUCUCUAGAGUGCCCACCUUACGUGCUGGCAACUAAAGAUAAGGGUUGCGCUCGUUGCGGGACUUAACCCAACAUCUCACGACACGAGCUGACGACAACCAUGCACCACCUGUCUCCCUGUCUGUCCGAAGACAAAACAUCUAAUCUCUUAGACUCUCAGGGGAUGUCAAGACCUGGUAAGGUUCUUCGCGUUGCGUCGAAUUAACCACAUGCUCCACCGCUUGUGCGGGCCCCCGUCAAUUCCUUUGAGUUUCAACCUUGCGGCCGUACUCCCCAGGCGGGGUACUUAUUGUGUUAACUCCGGCACAGAAGGGGUCGAUACCUCCUACACCUAGUACCCAUCGGUUACGGCGUGGGCUACCAGGGUAUCUAAUUCUGUUUUGCUCCCAAGGGUUUAGGGCCU